UACGUAGGGGGCAAGCGUUGUCCGGAAUCAUUGGGCGUAAAGAGCGUGUAGGCGGCCCGAUAAGUCCGCUGUGAAAGUCCAGGGCUCAACCCUGGGAUGCCGGUGGAUACUGUCGGGCUCGAGUCCGGAAGAGGAGAGUGGAAUUCCUGGUGUAGCGGUGAAAUGCGCAGAUAUCAGGAGGAACACCAAUAGCGAAGGCAGCUCGCUGGGACGGUACUGACGCUGAGGCGCGAAAGCGUGGGGAGCGAACAGG
rnacentral:rRNA from 1 species